GACAGAGAUGGCAGGAGAAACAAAUGGCACUUCCCUUGUCAUCCCUUUGCUGAGGUUUGUUGGGUCACACCAUCUGUGGCAAUGGCUUUCACCAGCUGCAGGACUGGGUUUUCACUGUCUUUCAGAACAGCAUUUUGAAAUGUGGAGCUGUCACAGAAGGCACAACAUAAGCACUGAAAAAAUGCAUCAAAUGCACAGUUUCAUCUGCAUGGAGCCAUUCGGUACAUGAAGAGAGG